rnacentral:pre_miRNA from 1 species
UGUAAACAUCCUUGACUGGAAGCUGUAAAGUGUUGAGAGGAGCUUUCAGUCGGAUGUUUACAGC